UGCUAUUUGAAUGCGUAUGCAUGCUAAAGUAUAUGAUUACAUAUAUCUAAGGUCAAAUAGUUAUGUGUAACGUUUAACAGGUAUAGGUUAUAAUGAAAAACAUGUGGAAAUUGAAUGCAGUUACUUUCUUACAAGAUAUAUCUGGAAGUAUGUUUAAGCAUUUAUUCAGACAUUGAAGAGGAAAUUACAACCAAAAAAUUAUGGAGAAGGAAAGUUGAACAGUUACAUUAAAGAAAUAAAACAAUGCGGAAUGAAAUACUAGGAGAAAUGAGAAAAACGUACUCUGAAAACAGAUGCAAUUACUUUCUCGCAGGAUAUAUGAGGAAAUAUGUUUAAGCAUUUAUUCAGACAUUGAUUGAUGAGGAAAUUAUAACAAUCAAUUUCUGGAGUAGAAAAAUUUGAUAGAUACAGUGAACAAAUUUUCCAAAGAAGAGGAUUAUUAAAUUAGAUAAGUUUGUCUUGUAAAUCAUAAUGUCAGAAUAUUUUAAAUAAAUAAAUUAA